ensembl:snRNA U6 U6 spliceosomal RNA
GUGCUCGCUUCGGCAGCACAUAUACUAAAAUUGGAAUGAUACAGAGAAGAUUAGCAUGGCCCCUGUGCAAGUAUGACACGCAAAAAGUAUUUUUUAAUGUUUGU